GAAUGAAUCUGAACUUAUAAAGACAGUUGUUGAUGAGAUUUUGGAGAGGCUGCUUAAAGUGGCUCCAUUUGAUAACAAAAAUCAGCUAGUUGGAGUAGAAUCAAGAGUUGAGGAAAUUGAAUCUCUAUUAGCUGCUGCUCCUAUAUUAGGGAUUUGGGGCAUCGGUGGUGUAGGCAAGACAACAAUUUCUAGGGUGAUUUUCAACAAAAUCUCCAGAAAUUUUGAAGGUUCUUGCUUCCUUCAAAAUGUAAGAGAAGAAUCGCAGAGCCCUGGUGGAUUAGCUAGGUUGCGGCAAAAACUUUUUAACGAAGUAUUGAAGGAUGUAAAUGUGAUUCCUGAUAUUGACUUCAACUUUAGGAGGCUCAGCCGCAGGAAGGUUCUGAUUGUUCUCGAUGAUGUGACUAGCUUCAGCCAAAUAAAAUCCUUCAUCAGAGGUUCUGAUCGGUUUCUGCCUGAAAGUCGUAUCAUACUAACCACAAGAGAUCAACAAGUCCUUAAGAAUUGGGUUGUGAAAGAGAGUGACAUUUAUGAGAUGAAAGAAUUAGAACACGAUCAUGCCCUUGAGCUUUUUAGUCGACAUGCCUUCAAACAAAACCGUCCUCCUGAAGCAGGUUAUGAGGAAUUGUCAGAGAUAGUAAUAAAUUAUGCUCGAGGUGUCCCUUUAGCACUGGAAAUUUUGGGUUGCUAUCUAUUUGGAAGGGAAAAGGAAGUUUGGGAAAGCGCAAUAAACAAAUUGAAAAGAAUUCCUAAUAUGGAGAUCCAAAAUGUGCUAAAAGUAAGUUUCGAUGAUCUGGAUGAUGAAGAGAAAGAUAUUUUUCUAGACAUUGUUUGUUUCUUUAAAGGGAAAGAUAAAGACUUCAUUAUAAAUUUUCUUAAUGCUUGUGGCUUUGAUGCACAAAUAGGAAUAAGUGAUCUUGUCAAUAAGUCUCUUAUUGUCAUACGCGACAACGGAAUAACAAUGCAUGAUCUGUUACAAGAAAUGGGUAGGGAAAUUGUCAGGCAAGAAUCUGUGAAAAAUCCAGGAGAACGCAGUCGGCUGUGGCAUCAUGAGGAUAUUAUUGAAGUUUUGACAUUUAAUACGGUAAGCAUUUUGUUUGAGACUUUAUAUUAUUUUGAAAUGCUAUUGGAUAUGUAAACUUUACUUAUAAUUAUGUAUAAAUAGAUGGGAUAUAAAACCAAUAGAAGAACUGGCAAUAAUAAAAGGAAAAAAAAUAUUGCAAUGUCAAUUUACAACUAAAAGUCUGGCAAACAAACAUAGAUACAUUACAAUGUCAAUUUACAUCUAAAGUAUGGCAAACAAACACAGAUACUUUAUAUGUUUAGUAUUGUCUGUAUUACUAUGUUUCUUUUGUAUGUAGGCAUGUCAAUUUACAUCUAGAAGCAUGGCAAACAAACAUGGAUACUUUAUAUGCUUAGUAUUGUUUGUAUUACAAUGUUUCUUUUGUACGUUGGCUUGCAAUUAACGUGAACAUUAAUUUAAAUUUGAAUUUAACUUUCUGGUCUUUCAUUGAUUGCUAGGGGACCAAAAAAGUUGAGGGUAUCUGCUUGGAUAUGUCUAGAAUAAAAGAGAUCCAUCUACAUCCAGAUACUUUCACAAAGAUGUGUAAAUUGAGAUUUUUGAAAUUCUAUAACUCUAAAGAUGAUGGAGAGAACAAAUGUAAGGUGUCUUAUUUGGUAGGACCUGGAUUUGCUGAAGUGAGGUAUCUUCACUGGUAUGGAUAUCCACUAAAAUCAUUACCGACAAAUAUUCAUCCAGAGAAACUUGUUUCAAUUGAAAUGCCUCAUGGUAAUAUUCAACAACUUUGGGAUAGUGUCCAGGUAUAUAAAAUCUUCAUAUUUAUGCAAUGUUUCAGUAAUAAUGUUUAAUUAUUUAUUGUACUUAAAUGCUAACGAUUUGUAUGUCUGGGCUUCUAUUUUUUUGGAGCAGCAUAAUGGUAAGUUAAAGCAGAUAAUAAGCCGGGCCUCUAAUUUUUUCACCAAAUCUCCAAACCACUCGUUGACUCUGCAUCUGGACAAGCUAGUUAACCUCAAUCUAAACAAUUGCAAAAGCUUGAGAAUUCUUCCAGCUGGAAUAUUUCGUUUGGAAUUUCUUAAAGAACUUGAUCUUUGGGGUUGCUCAAAACUAAAAACGCUUCCAGAGAUCUCAUCAGCUGGUAAUAUAGAAGUGAUGUAUUUAAAUGGAACUGCAAUUGAAGAAUUGCCUUCAUCCAUAGAAUGUCUAUCUGGGCUUUCGGCCUUAUACCUUGAUCAUUGUAAAAGGCUGAAGAGUCUCCCAAGCAGCCUAUGUAAGUUGAAAUCUCUGAAUUCUAUUUAUCUCAGGUAGUGCUCAAGUCUUAAGAGUUUGCCCGAUGAACUUGGAAAUUUAGAAGCUUUGAACAGUUUGAAUGCUGAAGGAACUGCUAUAAGAGAAGUGCCGUUGUCCAUUGUUUGUUUGAACAAUUUUGAUGGCUUGCAAAAUCUAACGUCUUUAUAUCUAACUGAUUGCGGCAUCACGGAGUUACCUGAAAAUCUCGGUCAGUUAUCCUUAUUACUUGAAUUGUAUCUAGAGAAAAACAAUUUUGAGAGAAUACCAGAGAGCAUCAUACAUCUUUCUAAGUUGGCAUAUCUUAAAUUGAGUUAUUGUGAGAGGCUUCAAUCCUUACCAAAGCUUCCAUGCAAUCUAAGUGAGUUAGAUGCACAUCAUUGCACAGCACUGGAAUCAUCUCCAGGUUUAGUAUUCCCAAGUCGUGAUCCUCAGUAUUUUGAGCUAAGAAAUAAUUUGAAAUUGGAUCGCAACGAGAUCAGGGAAAUUCUCGAAGAUGCUCAGCAAGAAAUUCAGGUUAUGGCAAUAGCACGUUGGAAACAAUUACAGGAAAAGGUAUGUUGUGUCUUUUAUGAUCCUUUUAAUCUAUACAAUGUUAUUGAGUAAUGAUCUAGUGGGCGAUAGUGCUCAUCUUAUGGAGAGCGAGAGUGGCACAUCGCAUUGCUUAAUUAAUCCACAGCCUUAACGCUAUUCACUGGGAGUUGUAGAAUUCUGCCACAUAUCCAAAUGCUCAUCCAUAUGGUGGGCACUAGCGCUCACUAGAUCAUCGUUCCAAUGCUAUUUUGUUAAUUUUUUAUUUAAAAUUAAAUUUAACAACAUUUCUUCAAAAUUAUGAUCUUUGGUACAGGGAGAUUUUUUCCAAAGUUCAGGUCGAGUAUUAUUACCUGGGAAUGAAAUUCCAAAGUGGUUUAGCUUUCAAAGUUUGGGAUCUUCUUCUAUAACCUUGAAGAUGCCACCUGUAGGUUGGUUCAGUAAUAACAAAGUGAUUGGCUUUGCUUACAGCGCUGUUGUAGGAUUUCGAGACCAUCAUGUCAAAGAGAAGAGGUGGUUUAACUUGUUCUGUGAAUUCAUGAAAGCCAAACCUGAAGAUUGUACUGAGCUACUGGUCAGACGGAGUUCUCUAAGGGGAUUUAAUUAUGUAGAGUCAGAUCACUUACUUUUGGGGUACUAUUUCUUUGGUGAGCAUGAUUUUAGUGCUUUCCAGAAACACAACUGCGAUCAUGUGGCAGUCAAGUUCUAUUUAGAGGAUGAUCAUAAUCAACGUGAACGUUUGGAUUGUUGCCCGGUGAAAAAAUGUGGGAUUCAUUUAUUGUACGCCCCUGAUUCUACGGAACCCACAGAAGAUCCAAGGAGUACUCUCGGUUGAAGUAUUCUUUAAGGCAUCAUAGUAGCUGCUACUUUUCAGUAAAUUAAUAAAUCUUAUAUUCAUAAACCUUGUUUUGCUAGCUUGGUUUCUUUUCCUUCUAUCUGUUUUUAUUACUUUUCUUUAAUUCUUUUCUUCCCAUAUAUAAAUAAUUGGCUUCAAAUAUUCAUAGGGAGAUACUUGUUUUCCUUGAAUUGCCUCGUUGCAGUAUUGAACAACUUUCGGAGAGCGUCCAGGUGUGCAAUGUCAAUAAUAUUUAAUUAUCAUACACGCUACUGAUCUGCAUGUAAUGGCUUCUUUUUUGGUGAAAGCAGAAUAAUUCAUUGGUAACGCUUGAUUAAUCUCUGGUUAUAGUACUCAAUAGAUUUAGUGAGACAUUUCGUCAAACAGGUAGGUUGUAAAAAUUAUAUAGCCUAUGGUAAAAAAUUUGAAUUAGGAUAUAGAGAUACAAAGACAGGAAAAUUCUUUUGUAAUAAUUGUAAAGAUAAACAACAUGAAGACAAUACAAUAGAAAUUAGUGAACUAAUAAAUACAACCUAACCCGCACUCAUAAAAAUUAUAAAUUAUUAAACUCACCCAUAAUCGGCAGUGGGUUUUUUAUUUUUUUUAAAAAGUCCAUCUAUUGCUGGUUUUAGGGGUGGUAAAAAUACAUGUCUGAUCUAAACUCUGGCGAUGUGGACCGGAUAAUGCUAAGCUUGGGUAUGAAGCCAAACUUGUCUUGGGCAUCACUUUAUAAACUCAAGACUCGACCCAAAACUUAAAUUUUAUUAAAAAAGUCCAAAUCUCCAAACCACUCGUUGACCCUGCAUCUGGACAAGCUAGUUAACCUCAAUCUAAACAAUUGCAAAAGCUUGAGAAUUCUUCCAGCUGGAAUAUUUCGUUUGGAAUUUCUUAAAGAACUUGAUCUUUGGGGUUGCUCAAAACUAAAAACGCUUCCAGAGAUCUCAUCAGCUGGUAAUAUAGAAGUGAUGUAUUUAAAUGGAACUGCAAUUGAAGAAUUGCCUUCAUCCAUAGAAUGUCUAUCUGGGCUUUCGGCCUUAUACCUUGAUCAUUGUAAAAGGCUGAAGAGUCUCCCAAGCAGCCUAUGUAAAUUGAACUCUCUGAACUUUAUUUAUCUCAGGUGGUGCUCAAGUCUUAGGAGUUUGCCUGAUGAACUUGGAAAUUUAGAAGCUUUGGACAGUUUGAUUGCUGAAGGAACUGCUAUAAGAGAAGUGCCGUUGUCCAUUGUUUGUUUGAACAAUUUUGAUGGCUUGCAAAAUCUAACGUCUUUAUAUCUAACUGAUUGCGGCAUCACGGAGUUACCUGAAAAUCUCGGUCAGUUAUCCUUAUUACUUGAAUUGUAUCUAGAGAAAAACAAUUUUGAGAGAAUACCAGAGAGCAUCAUACAUCUUUCUAAGUUGGCAUAUCUUAAAUUGAGUUAUUGUGAGAGGCUUCAAUCCUUACCAAAGCUUCCAUGCAAUCUAAGUGAGUUAGAUGCACAUCAUUGCACAGCACUGGAAUCAUCUCCAGGUUUAGUAUUCCCAAGUCGUGAUCCUCAGUAUUUUGAGCUAAGAAAUAAUUUGAAAUUGGAUCGCAACGAGAUCAGGGAAAUUCUCGAAGAUGCUCAGCAAGAAAUUCAGGUUAUGGCAAUAGCACGUUGGAAACAAUUACAGGAAAAGGUAUGUUGUGUCUUUUAUGAUCCUUUUAAUCUAUACAAUGUUAUUGAGUAAUGAUCUAGUGGGCGAUAGUGCUCAUCUUAUGGAGAGCGAGAGUGGCACAUCGCAUUGCUUAAUUAAUCCACAGCCUUAACGCUAUUCACUGGGAGUUGUAGAAUUCUGCCACAUAUCCAAAUGCUCAUCCAUAUGGUGGGCACUAGCGCUCACUAGAUCAUCGUUCCAAUGCUAUUUUGUUAAUUUUUUAUUUAAAAUUAAAUUUAACAACAUUUCUUCAAAAUUAUGAUCUUUGGUACAGGGAGAUUUUUUCCAAAGUUCAGGUCGAGUAUUAUUACCUGGGAAUGAAAUUCCAAAGUGGUUUAGCUUUCAAAGUUUGGGAUCUUCUUCUAUAACCUUGAAGAUGCCACCUGUAGGUUGGUUCAGUAAUAACAAAGUGAUUGGCUUUGCUUACAGCGCUGUUGUAGGAUUUCGAGACCAUCAUGUCAAAGAGAAGAGGUGGUUUAACUUGUUCUGUGAAUUCAUGAAAGCCAAACCUGAAGAUUGUACUGAGCUACUGGUCAGACGGAGUUCUCUAAGGGGAUUUAAUUAUGUAGAGUCAGAUCACUUACUUUUGGGGUACUAUUUCUUUGGUGAGCAUGAUUUUAGUGCUUUCCAGAAACACAACUGCGAUCAUGUGGCAGUCAAGUUCUAUUUAGAGGAUGAUCAUAAUCAACGUGAACGUUUGGAUUGUUGCCCGGUGAAAAAAUGUGGGAUUCAUUUAUUGUACGCCCCUGAUUCUACGGAACCCACAGAAGAUCCAAGGAGUACUCUCGGUUGAAGUAUUCUUUAAGGCAUCAUAGUAGCUGCUACUUUUCAGUAAAUUAAUAAAUCUUAUAUUCAUAAACCUUGUUUUGCUAGCUUGGUUUCUUUUCCUUCUAUCUGUUUUUAUUACUUUUCUUUAAUUCUUUUCUUCCCAUAUAUAAAUAAUUGGCUUCAAAUAUUCAUAGGGAGAUACUUGUUUUCCUUGAAUUGCCUCGUUGCAGUAUUGAACAACUUUCGGAGAGCGUCCAGGUGUGCAAUGUCAAUAAUAUUUAAUUAUCAUACACGCUACUGAUCUGCAUGUAAUGGCUUCUUUUUUGGUGAAAGCAGAAUAAUUCAUUGGUAACGCUUGAUUAAUCUCUGGUUAUAGUACUCAAUAGAUUUAGUGAGACAUUUCGUCAAACAGGUAGGUUGUAAAAAUUAUAUAGCCUAUGGUAAAAAAUUUGAAUUAGGAUAUAGAGAUACAAAGACAGGAAAAUUCUUUUGUAAUAAUUGUAAAGAUAAACAACAUGAAGACAAUACAAUAGAAAUUAGUGAACUAAUAAAUACAACCUAACCCGCACUCAUAAAAAUUAUAAAUUAUUAAACUCACCCAUAAUCGGCAGUGGGUUUUUUAUUUUUUUUAAAAAGUCCAUCUAUUGCUGGUUUUAGGGGUGGUAAAAAUACAUGUCUGAUCUAAACUCUGGCGAUGUGGACCGGAUAAUGCUAAGCUUGGGUAUGAAGCCAAACUUGUCUUGGGCAUCACUUUAUAAACUCAAGACUCGACCCAAAACUUAAAUUUUAUUAAAAAAGUAUUAUAAAAUGUAUAUUAUUUUUAAUAUUUAUAUUUAUUUGACUGAUCUAUUACAUAUAGAUAAAAUUUUAAAUAUUUGAAGUUUAAAUUUUCAUGUUCGAUUUCAUUGAAAUAAAUUUAAAAAUUAUAAAAUUAUAAAAAAUUAUAAAAAUACAUAUAUAAUAAUAAAAAAAUACAAAAUACUGGGCACAAAAACCUGGAUUAAAAAACUUGGACUGGGUGUUUAAAAAUUACAUCAGGGCCAGGUCCAAGCAUUUCGAUACUUAGACCCGAACCUGAGAUUUAACAAUUAACAAACUAACCUAUAGCACCGAGUAAAUUUUUUUUAUAAGUUUUCUCAUUUAAAAUCAUAAAUAUAAAAAAAAAAUACUUUUAAUAAUACAUAAAAAAUUAAAUUAAGUGAUUCAAAUAUAAAUUUAUAACCCCUACAAAAUUCGUGUACAAAAUUCAAUUCUAAAUUUUACCAAUGAAAAUAAGAAAUUAAAAUUCCAACAUUAAAAAAAAAACAAAAUAUACUAAAUCUGACUUACAAAAUAAAAAAGAAAAACAAUAAAUAGCUGAUAGUAAUCUACUUUACAAAUUAUUAUCAUAUCCCAAAUCAAUUUUCUAAUCAUCAAAAUCUCUAAUCAAUUGAAUUGUUUCUGUUGUUAUGGCUUCUUCUUCUUCUUCUCGUCCAUCCAGCAGUUUGAGUUCGAUGAAUAAUCCUCGAAACAAUAAGUAUGAUGUUUUCCUGAGUUUCAGAGAAGAGGAAACCAGUGAUAGCUUUACUAGCCAUCUUUAUUCAGCCUUGUGUGAAACGAGUAUCGAAACUUUCAUUGAUGACCAACUCGUCAGAGGAAAUGAAAUCUCACAGUUUCUUCUUGAUGCAAUUGAAGCAUCAAGCAUAUCAGUUAUCGUAUUCUCUGAAGGGUAUGCUUCUUCCAGAUGGUGCCUCGAUGAACUUCUAAAGAUCCUCGAUUGCAGGAAAGAGUAUGCACAGAUUGUGAUACCAGUUUUCUAUCGGGUCGAUCCAUCACAUGUGAGAAAGCAAAUUGGGAGUUUUGGGGUUUCAAUUUCGGAGCUUGAAAAAAGAUUUCCAGACAAGAAACAAAGUUGGGGGAGUGCUUUAACUGAAGCAGCCAAUCUCUCUGGCUUUGAUUCUCAUGUCUUCAGGUAGCAGUCAAUUUAUUACCAAUUUUAUAAUUAUUUUUAUUUACUCAAGUUCUAGUAUUAUAUGAAUAAUUUUAAAAGCAAAAAAACUGUCUCAAAUCCGAACUAAUUAAAAACUCUCCUUUUUGUCUCUUUUUGAACUUAAUACUAUGUUUCUUGUAUUUGCUAGGAAUGAAUCUGAACUUAUAAAGACAGUUGUUGAUGAGAUUUUGGAGAGCCUGCCUAAAGUGGUUCCAUUUGAUAACAAAAAUCAGCUAGUUGGAGUAGAAUCAAGAGUUGAGGAAAUUGAAUCUCUAUUAGCUGCUGCACCUAUAUUAGGGAUUUGGGGCAUCGGUGGUGUAGGCAAGACAACAAUUUCUAGGGUGAUUUUCAACAAAAUCUCCAGAAAUUUUGAAGGUUCCUGCUUCCUUCAAAAUGUAAGAGAAGAAUCGCAGAGCCCUGGUGGAUUAGCU
rnacentral:lncRNA from 1 species